AGAGUUUGAUUCUGGCUCAGGAUGAACGCUGGCGGCGUGCCUAAUACAUGCAAGUGAAACGGGUAUCUUCGGAUACCAGUCGCGGACGGGUGAGUAAUACAUAGGCAACCUGCCUUUAUGAGGGGGAUAACCGAGGGAAACUUUGGCUAAUACCGCAUGAAGACUCUAAGGCAUCUUAGAGGGAUAAAAGUUGGGAAACAACGCAUGAAGAUGGGCUUAUGGCGCAUUAGCUAGUUGGUGAGAUAGAAGCCCACCAAGGUAAUGAUGCGUAGCCGACCUGAGAGGGUGAACGGCCACAUUGGGACUGAGACACGGCCCAAACUCCUACGGGAGGCAGCAGUAGGGAAUUUUCGGCAAUGGGGGGAACCCUGACCGAGCAACGCCCGCGUGAAGGAAGAAGGUUUUCGGAUUGUAAACUUCUGUUAUAAGGGAAGAACGGAUUGGAUAGGGAAUGAUCUGAUAGUGACGGUACCUUAUUAGAAAGCCACGGCUAACUACGUGCCAGCCGCCGC
rnacentral:rRNA from 1 species